AACGGAACAACAAUCUGCCAGAAAGGAUGGUUUCCAGAAACCUCCAAGCCAGUAACAUGCUCAGAGAGUGGUAUCUUGCAGCCCACUAAAUGCAUAUCUGCAUCUCAGUACCACAAGAAUGAUCUGUAUGUCGUUGUGCCAACAAUCCCCUUUUCCCGUAAUCUGCUGGAGAUGAGUAAUUACAAUGCCACCAAACACUGCAUCGAUACGUAUGGAUAUGAUGCAAGACUGUUGAACUUUCAAAAUGCUUUUGAAGUGGAGACUCUCUCCAUUGUGCUCAAGAAACUUGGUGCUGCCGCCGCCAAAGGCCUGUUCUGGUCUCGACAGUCCGAUCAAGUGUCUUUUGAUAAUCAUUAUGCCUUUGAGGUGAAUGGCAACCAGCUAGGACAUAGUGAGGCCAGGAAUAGUUCGAGGGAGCUUCCAUUUGCCUGUUUAGCCAGAAUAUGUAAUUAUGCUGCGACGGUGGAUAGCACAGGUGUUCUCAAUAUUCCCGAGAAUGGUUCAGCACAGUGUAAACCAGGUCACACACUGAAAAAUCCAGAGCGCGUCUAUUGCCACCAGGGAAACUGGGUCAACUUCCCAAUCU